UGCUCGCGUCUGCGCACGGCCCGCUCCGAGCCCGGCAGCGCGGGGCGCCCGGCGCAGCCACAGCCUGCCCGGCCUCCCGCUCCCGCUCCCGCUCCCCGCCUUCCCCUCCUCCAGCGCGGGCUGCGGCGCCUGCACCCCGCCCGGCCCCGGCCCCGGCCCCGGCCCCGCCGCAGCAGCAGCAGCAGCAGGGGGAGCGGCUGGGCCGGGCGGGGAGCGGAGCGGAGCAGGGUCCCGGCUCGGGGCGGGGCGGAGCGGGGGCGAGGUGCCCGGCGCGGGCAGGCGGGCCCUCCUGGGGGCUCGGGCCGGGCUGUGCGCGGGGCGACGUCUCGGGGCUUUGUCCCCUCCGCCCCGCUCUGGGCACACGGCCGGAGCCGACAGCACUGGGGCUCCGCCACGGCCUGGGGCUCUUCGCGCUUCCUCUCGGUUCCUGGCACUCCCCGCGCGGAGCCGCCCGUGCCAAGCGGCACCUGCAUGGCGAAGGGCAGCUUCAAGACAGAAAGCCUGCCAUGGCGCUGAGGCCGCGGCGGGCGCAGCCGUGCCAGCCCAGUGCUCGGCCGCGCUGGGGCAGAGGAGGAAGCGGAGCCCCGCACCCAGCUCCGUGGGGCAGGACGAGGGAAGGGGCCGGGGCAGCCCUGGCUCUGCGGCCGGUGUGAAGCGCGGUUGUGUUUGCUGUGCCCAGGCUGCGGUGCACACUGAGCAGGUGUCCGGGUUUCCUCACCUUCCCCGCGAGCACUGGGUGGGGCUGCCCCCAAGGCGAGGUUGGUGCCGGGGGUGCCAGUGCUGCAGCGAGGGCUAAAGCCUCGGCCUUCCUGGGGAGAGGUCUGCCCUCCAUUCAGGGUCAGACUCAUCCUGCAUUUGGGCUCAGAAGAGCUUUUACAACGUGGCCAGACGGGGAUGGACUGAGGGCAUUUUGCUGCCGUCUCGAGGGAAGGGCAGAGCUCUCUUCCUUGGAUCUCUUGAGGCUAACAAUGGAGUAGAGACAUGCUGCCCCGCCUGCCUGAUACGUCCGUCCACACCGACCCAGCACCUGCAGGACGUGUCUGCCCUCACCCGGGUCUGCACGGCAGAGCUCGUGAAGAAAUGGGUUUCCUACAGCACAAAACCGCCAUGAUUUCUUGCUCCGCGCUCAGGGUGACGGUUUAAAAUUUUAAACACUUUUGUGAAGGCAAACAUCAGUUGGCAAAGAGGAAAUAAUGAAUAUUUGCAACAAUUCA